GCCUUCGUGAUGAAAUUGGUAGACAUCCUGGUUUUAGGCACCAGUGCUGAAAAGCGUGUCGGUUCGAAUCCGACCGAAGGCA
rnacentral:tRNA from 2 species